rnacentral:rRNA from 1 species
AAUGAACGCUGGCGGCAGGCUAACACAUGCAAGUCGAGCGGUAGCACAGAGAGCUUGCUCUCGGGUGACGAGCGGCGGACGGGUGAGUAAUGUCUGGGAAACUGCCUGAUGGAGGGGGAUAACUACUGGAAACGGUAGCUAAUACCGCAUAAUGUCGCAAGACCAAAGUGGGGGACCUUCGGGCCUCAUGCCAUCAGAUGUGCCCAGAUGGGAUUAGCUAGUAGGUGGGGUAACGGCUCACCUAGGCGACGAUCCCUAGCUGGUCUGAGAGGAUGACCAGCCACACUGGAACUGAGACACGGUCCAGACUCCUACGGGAGGCAGCAGUGGGGAAUAUUGCACAAUGGGCGCAAGCCUGAUGCAGCCAUGCCGCGUGUGUGAAGAAGGCCUUCGGGUUGUAAAGCACUUUCAGCGGGGAGGAAGGCGGUGAGGUUAAUAACCUCAUCGAUUGACGUUACCCGCAGAAGAAGCACCGGCUAACUCCGUGCCAGCAGCCGCGGUAAUACGGAGGGUGCAAGCGUUAAUCGGAAUUACUGGGCGUAAAGCGCACGCAGGCGGUCUGUCAAGUCGGAUGUGAAAUCCCCGGGCUCAACCUGGGAACUGCAUUCGAAACUGGCAGGCUAGAGUCUUGUAGAGGGGGGUAGAAUUCCAGGUGUAGCGGUGAAAUGCGUAGAGAUCUGGAGGAAUACCGGUGGCGAAGGCGGCCCCCUGGACAAAGACUGACGCUCAGGUGCGAAAGCGUGGGGAGCAAACAGGAUUAGAUACCCUGGUAGUCCACGCCGUAAACGAUGUCGAUUUGGAGGUUGUGCCCUUGAGGCGUGGCUUCCGGAGCUAACGCGUUAAAUCGACCGCCUGGGGAGUACGGCCGCAAGGUUAAAACUCAAAUGAAUUGACGGGGGCCCGCACAAGCGGUGGAGCAUGUGGUUUAAUUCGAUGCAACGCGAAGAACCUUACCUGGUCUUGACAUCCACAGAACUUUCCAGAGAUGGAUUGGUGCCUUCGGGAACUGUGAGACAGGUGCUGCAUGGCUGUCGUCAGCUCGUGUUGUGAAAUGUUGGGUUAAGUCCCGCAACGAGCGCAACCCUUAUCCUUUGUUGCCAGCGGUUAGGCCGGGAACUCAAAGGAGACUGCCAGUGAUAAACUGGAGGAAGGUGGGGAUGACGUCAAGUCAUCAUGGCCCUUACGACCAGGGCUACACACGUGCUACAAUGGCAUAUACAAAGAGAAGCGACCUCGCGAGAGCAAGCGGACCUCAUAAAGUAUGUCGUAGUCCGGAUUGGAGUCUGCAACUCGACUCCAUGAAGUCGGAAUCGCUAGUAAUCGUAGAUCAGAAUGCUACGGUGAAUACGUUCCCGGGCCUUGUACACACCGCCCGUCACACCAUGGGAGUGGGUUGCAAAAGAAGUAGGUAGCUUAA